GACGAACGCUGGCGGCGUGCUUAACACAUGCAAGUCGAACGGAAAGGCCCUUCGGGGUACACGAGUUGCGCACGGGUGAGUAACGAGUGAGUAACCUGCCCUGGACUCUGGGAUAACAGAUGGACACGACUGCGAAUACCGGAUACUCAGCCUUGUGGGCAUCCACAGGGUUGGAAAGCUCUGGCGGUCAAGGAUGGACUAGCGUCCUAUCAGCUAGUUGGUGGGGUAAUGGCCUACCAAGGCUACGACGGGGAGCCGGCCUGAGAGGGCGACCGUCAACAUUGGGACUAAGAUACGGCCCAGACUCCUACGGGAGGUAGCAGUGGGGAAUAUUGCCCAAUGGGCGCAAGCCUGAUGAAGCAACGCCGCGUGCGGGAUGACAGCCUUCGGGUUGUAAACCGCUUUCAGCAGGGACGAAGCGCAAGUGACGGUACCUGCAGAAGAAGCACCGGCUAACUACGUGCCAGCCGCCGCAGUAAGAC
rnacentral:rRNA from 1 species